rnacentral:rRNA from 1 species
AGAGUUUGAUUAUGGCUCAGGAUGAACGCUGGCGGCGUGCUUAACACAUGCAAGUCGAACGAGGCACCUUUGCAGAAGUUUCGGAUGGAAGCGGAGGCGACCGAGUGGCGGACGGGUGAGUAACGCGUGGGGAACCUGCCCCAUUCCGGGGGAUACCAGUUGGAAACGACUGUUAAUACCGCAUAAGCGCACGGAAGGACAUCCUUUUGUGUGAAAAAACUGAGGUGGAAUGGGAUGGCCCCCGCGUCUGAUUAGCCAGUUGGCAGGGUAACGGCCUACCAAAGCGACGAUCAGUAGCCGGCCUGAGAGGGCGACCGGCCACAUUGGGACUGAGACACGGCCCAAACUCCUACGGGAGGCAGCAGUGGGGAAUAUUGCACAAUGGGGGAAACCCUGAUGCAGCGAACCGCCGCGUGAGUGAAGAAGUAUUUCGGUAUGUAAAGCUCUAUCAGCAGGGAAGAAGAUGACGGUACCUGCACAAGAAGCCCCGGCUAACUACGUGCCAGCAGCCGC